GAACGUAACACACCACAACAUGAACGUAACACACCACACUGUGAACGUAACACACCACACACACUGUGAACGUAACACACCACAACAUGAACGUAACACACCACACCACAACAUGAACGUAACACACCACAACAUGAACGUAACACACCACACCACACAGUGAACGUAACACACCACAACGUGAACGUAACACACCACACCACACUGUGAACGUAACACACCACAACAUGAACGUACCACACCACAACACAACAUGAACGUACCACACACACACCACAACAUGAACGUAACACACCACACUGUGAACGUAACACACCACACCACACUGUGAACGUAACACACCACAACGUGAACGUAACACACCACACCACAACAUGAACGUACCACACCACAACAUGAACGUAACACACCACACCAUGAACACACCACACUGUGAACGUAACACACCACAACAUGAACGUAACACACCACACUGUGAACGUAACACACCACACCACACUGUGAACGUAACACACCACAACAUGAACGUAACACACCACAACAUGAACGUAACACACCACACCGUGAAGGUAACACACCACAACAUGAACGUACCACACCACACCGUGAAGGUAACACACCACACCACACCGUCAUGUGACGUCUAUUAUAGUAAAAUCACAAUCCAGGUCUGGCUAUGAUGAGUCUUGAUCUUGGCUUCAACUUUUUUUUUACCAGUAGUAAAGAGCAACGAACGCUCAAUCAGCCCUCUAACCUCACAAAUAUCAUUUAUGGAGGUCAAAGGUUACCACAUUCCAAUUCUCUACCCUUCUCCCUGAGGUGUGCACUUGUACACUUCCCUUUAUGGAUUUAAAAUUAUUGGACUGGUGUCAGAAAUAUGAUGGAAAUGGGAACUCCCCUCCAGUCAUACUUGUACCGAUCCAAUGGUUUUGAGUUCUGGAGAAGGGUGGAACAUCGGAACGCAGCCACAGGGUUCAACUGCACCUCAGAGACUCCUGCCUUAUGUACGGUACAGAGUCAUGGAACCACUUUAAUAACGGUUACAUACUGUUUUACCUACUUCAUGUCUAUAUACUGUAUUCUAGUCAUGGUUCAUUCUAUAUAACUACUGCUGUACACACUUUCUAAUUCAUAUACUGUCUAUACACACCAUCCUAUUAUAACUACUGUCUAUACACACCAUCCUAUAUAUAACUACUGUCUAUACACACCAUCCUAUAUAUAACUACUGUCUAUACACACCAUCCUAUAUAUAACUACUGUCUAUACUGUCUAUACACACCAUCCUAUAUAACUACUGUCUAUACUGUCUAUACACACCAUCCUAUAUAACUACUGUCUAUGCACACCAUCCUAUAUAACUACUGUCUAUACACACCAUCCUAUAUAACUACUGUCUAUACACACCAUCCUAU
ensembl:lncRNA